UACAGAGGGUGCGAGCGUUAAUCGGAAUUACUGGGCGUAAAGGGCGCGUAGGUGGAUAUGUAAGUCGGAUGUGAAAUCCCCGGGCUUAACCUGGGAAUGGCAUACGAAACUGUGUAUCUAGAGUUGAAGAGAGGGAAGUGGAAUUUCCGGUGUAGCGGUGAAAUGCGUAGAUAUCGGAAGGAACACCAGUGGCGAAGGCGGCUUCCUGGCUUCAAACUGACACUGAGGCGCGAAAGCGUGGGUAGCAAACAGG
rnacentral:rRNA from 1 species